UGGGGAAUAUUGGACAAUGGGGGCAACCCUGAUCCAGCCAUGCCGCGUGAGUGAUGAAGGCCCUAGGGUUGUAAAGCUCUUUCGCCGGUGAAGAUAAUGACGGUAACCGGUAAAGAAGCCCCGGCUAACUUCGUGCCAGCAGCCGCGGUAAUACGAAGGGGGCUAGCGUUGUUCGGAAUUACUGGGCGUAAAGCGCGCGUAGGCGGGCUGUUAAGUCAGGGGUGAAAUCCCGAGGCUCAACCUCGGAAUUGCCUUUGAUACUGGCAGUCUAGAGUCCGAGAGAGGUGAGUGGAACUCCGAGUGUAGAGGUGAAAUUCGUAGAUAUUCGGAAGAACACCAGUGGCGAAGGCGGCUCACUGGCUCGGUACUGACGCUGAGGUGCGAAAGCGUGGGGAGCAAACAGGAUUAGAUACCCCCGUAGUCC
rnacentral:rRNA from 1 species